rnacentral:rRNA from 1 species
CCUACGGGAGGCAGCAGUGGGGAAUUUUGGACAAUGGGCGCAAGCCUGAUCCAGCUAUUCCGCGUGUGGGAUGACGGCCUUCGGGUUGUAAACCACUUUUGUAGAGAACGAAAAGUCUGUUGAUAAUACCGAUAGAUGAUGACGGUACUCUAAGAAUAAGCACCGGCUAACUACGUGCCAGCAGCCGCGGUAAUACGGAGGAUGCGAGCGUUAUCCGGUUUUAUUGGGUUUAACGGGUGCGCAGGCGGUCUGUUAAGUCAGCGGUCAACGCCCGGGGCUCAACCCCGGCCCGCCGUUGAAACUGGCAGUCUCGAGUUGGAGAGAAGUAUGCGGAAUGCGCGGUGUAGCGGUGAAAUGCAUAGAUAUCGCGCAGAACUCCGAUUGCGAAGGCAGCAUGCCGGCUCCACACUGACGCUGAGGCACGAAAGCGUGGGUAUCCAACAGGAUUAGAUACCCUAGUAGUC